CACGUAGUUAGCCGGGGCUUCUUAAUCAGGUACCGUCAUUUUCUUCCCUGCUGAUAGGGCUUUACAUACCGAAAUACUUCUUCACUCACGCGGCGUCGCUGCAUCAGGGUUUCCCCCAUUGUGCAAUAUUCCCCACUGCUGCCUCCCGUAGGAGUUUGGGCCGUGUCUCAGUCCCAAUGUGGCCGUUCACCCUCUCAGGCCGGCUACUGAUCGUCGCCUUGGUGAGCCAUUACCCCACCAACAAGCUAAUCAGACGCGGAACCAUCGUAUACCACCAGAGUUUUUCACACCACUUCAUGCGAAGCUGUGCGCUUAUGCGGUAUUAGCACCUAUUUCUAAGUGUUAUCCCCCAGUAUACGGCAGGUUUUCCACGCGUUACUCACCCGUCCGCCACUAACUCAUAAAUCACUAGGUUUCAAUAUGAGUCCGUUCGACUUGCAUGUGUUAAGCACGCCGCCAGCGUUCAUCCUGAGCCAGGAUCAAACUCU
rnacentral:rRNA from 1 species